rnacentral:lncRNA from 1 species
GGAAACGAGGUUCGAAGCCGGAGCCAGUGCAGGAUCCGCCUCUCUUCUGCACUCUGACGCUGAGACACACACAGCGCCUCCCUGAGCCGCGGUGCUACGCGGGACAGGAAGGGUCCCGUGGUCAGGACCCCAGAAGCUCCACAUCGCGGGCCAGUGGGGUUUCCAGCCUCCCUGUCCUUAUGUUCGCCCACCUCCCUCUGCCUGGGCCUUUACGCAGGCCCCUUACUCCUGGGAUUGUCCCCACUCCACUCCGGGGCCUUACCUGGCACCACCACCACCCCCUUAGCUUCAUCCCACUAUAGCUUCCGUUUUGUCAGCGCCAGUUGUCUUCUGUCACCGUGCUAAGGGCUUUACAGGACUUUCUAUUUCACUCCUUGCAACAAAUCCCAAGGUAGCCUGUUAUCCCCCAGGGCUUUCCAUUGAAGGAGCUGCAGACCCAGGCUCUGCACACCGCCUUCCUGCUCCCCAGUCCCUAGCAGAUGCCCCCACCCCAUAAUGCGGCUUUCCCUGUUGUCCAAUUGUGUCUCCCCAAGACUGGAAUUUGGGAGAAGGGCUGUCCUUAGUCGCCCCCUCUGGCACUCGGCUCACCCGGCUCAGGGAAUGGGAGUAGUGGGCAAAUGCAUCUCCAGGACACCUGCACAGGAAGCCCUUCCCGAGCCGCAGGGCCAGGAGUCAGCCCACAGGAGGGGCCCACCUAGUGGGCGGGAGAGGCCCUGGGAGAUGCGAGCUCUUCAGGGAGUCCUUCAGCAGCGGCUACCCCGCUGAGCCAGGACCGUUCAUCCUGAGCACGGGAACACCCACUGGAGGAGCGGACGCUGUAGCCACUACUGAUCUGUCAUUUUCGGAUGCACAGUGGCUUCCCUGGCAACUGCACAGUGGUGGGUCAUCCAGAAAGCUCUCAUGAAACCAAGCAGUGGGACCUCGCUGGUGCCAUGAUGCACCUUAAUUACUGUUUCAAAGGCUUUGUCUUAGGAAAUAUUAGAGAUCCACAAAAAUCAUGAACUGUAAACGUAGCAGCAUUAUAACUUAUAAGUGAGCACCCGCCCCUGCACCCAAACACCUCCAGCCAGGAGCUGAGCACCAGCCCGCAGCUGCAGUGCUGGCCUCCCUGCUGCCAAGGCAGCACCCCUUCACCCGAAACCCCAUCCCUGCACUUUCAGCUGUCUGUAUCCACAAACGCAGGUCUCCAACCACCAUGCUUUGGUCUUGCUUGUUUUUGAACUUCAUAUAAACAGAUACCAAGCAUGAUGUGCACAUAUCUGACUUCCUUCAUUUGACUUCAUGUGUGCGAAUUGUGCUCGUGUUUUUGUAUGCAGCUGAAGCUUACUCUUUGCUGGCUAUAAAUCCACUGUGUGAGAUGUCACAGCUGCUUUGCCCAUUGCAUUGGUGAGGCACACCUGCCUCCAGGUUAGGAAUAUUAUAAACUGUGACCCUUCUAAUUUGUGUACCCUGAAGCUCUUGAGUAGGCAUGCAUUUUUCAGUGUGUAUCUAAGAAGAAAAUUGCUGGGUAUGGGUAAUACCUAUCUUUGCUUUUUGUGUCCUUCUGUAUUGAGAUGCACUUUAUACACCCUGGUUUUAAGAAUUUGGAGUUGAG